AAUGAACGUUGGCGGCGUGGAUUAGGCAUGCAAGUCGCGCGACAAGUCUCUUUUAGCUUGCUAUUAGAGACAGAGGAGCGGCGAAAGGGUGAGUAACGCGUGGAUACUUACCCCUAGGCCCGGGAUAGCGUCGGGAAACUGGCGGUAAUACCGGAUAACAUCUCCGGAUCAAAGGUGUGAUUCCGCCUGGGGAUGGGUCCGCGUCCUAUUAGCUUGUUGGUGGGGUAACGGCUCACCAAGGCAAAGAUGGGUAGCGGGUGUGAGAGCAUGGCCCGCCUCACUGGGACUGAGACACUGCCCAGACACCUACGGGUGGCUGCAGUCGAGAAUCUUCCGCAAUGGGCGCAAGCCUGACGGAGCGACGCCGCGUGCGGGAUGAAGGCUUUCGAGUUGUAAACCGCUGUCAGAGGGGAACAAAUCCAUGGGGGCUCUCCCCCAUGGUUGAGUGAUCCUCAGAGGAAGCGCAGGCUAAGUUCGUG
rnacentral:rRNA from 1 species